rnacentral:rRNA from 1 species
UACGGAGGGUGCGAGCGUUGUCCGGAAUCACUGGGCGUAAAGGGCGCGUAGGUGGCCCGGGUAGUCGUCGGUGAAAGCUCAGGGCUCAACCCUGAGUCGGCCGGUGAUACUCCCGAGCUCGAGUGUGGUAGAGGCCAAUGGAAUUCCGGGUGUAGCGGUGGAAUGCGUAGAGAUCCGGAAGAACACCGGUGGCGAAGGCGGUUGGCUGGGCCACAACUGACACUGAUGCGCGACAGCGUGGGGAGCAAACAGG